AGAAUGAACGCUAGCGAUAUGCUUAACACAUGCAAGUUGAACGUUGUUUUCGAAUCAGAAUGAGAACAAAGUAGCGAACGGGUGCGUAACACGUGGGAAUCUGCCGAACAGUUUGGGCCAAAUCCCGAAUGAAUAAAAGCUAAAAAGCGCUGUUUGAUGAGCCCACGUAGUAUUAGGUAGUUGGUUAGGUAAAAGCUGACCAAGCCUACGAUGCUUAGCUGGUCUUUUCGGAUGAUCAGCCACACUGGGACUGAGACACGGCCCAGACUCCUACGGGAGGCAGCAGUGGGGAAUCUUGGACAAUGGGCGAAAGCCUGAUCCGGCAAUAUGGCGUGAGUGAAGAAGGGCAACGCAGCUUGUAAAGCUCUUUCAUCGAGUGUGCGAUUGUGACAAGACUCGAAUAACGAAGCCCCGGCUAACUCCGUGCCAGCAGUCGC
rnacentral:rRNA from 1 species